CCUACGGGACGCAGCAGUGGGGAAUAUUGCACAAUGGGGGAAACCCUGAUGCAGCGACGCCGCGUGAGUGAGGAAGUAUUUCGAUAUGUAAAGCUCUAUCAGCAGGGAAGAAAAAAUGACGGUACCUGACUAAGAAGCACCGGCUAAAUACGUGCCAGCAGCCGCGGUAAUACGUAUGGUGCAAGCGUUAUCCGGAUUUACUGGGUGUAAAGGGAGCGCAGGCGGCCUGGCAAGCCUGAUGUGAAAUACCGGGGCCCAACCCCGGGGCUGCAUUGGGAACUGCCAGGCUGGAGUGCCGGAGAGGG
rnacentral:rRNA from 1 species